CGAGCAGUGGGGAUUAAGAGGAAAAUAAUAGUAGAGAACAAAAUCAGAGCUUGGCAUGGCUCUCUGCUGGCACCGUGCAGGGUGUGAUUACAUCAGAUCUGUGCAACUCAGAUCUUGGGGAGGGGUUGGGGGGUGGAAGGUGGAGGGAGGAAGGGAGAGAAAACAGAGGGCGGGAAGAAGGGAAGGAAGUGAAGAAGGGAAUGAGGGACGGAAAGAGAGAGACAGCGAAGAGAGGAGAAAGAGUUUCAGAAUUUGGCAAAAGUCUCAAGGCUCAAGCUGGUUGUCUGAAGCCUUUCAAACCCCCAGUUUUAUCACCACAUAUGAGCUCUUAGCAUAUGAAACUGCAGCUAGGACUAAAACCAGAGGAAGGCACACAGAAUCUUGACUGCUCUUCAGAAAUACAUGGCACUCCGUUAAAAUGAAGAUUUUUGCUGCUCACUCCAGAAAUAUUGAAUCAAAACGUGGAGCAGGAGACAGGCAAGGCCAGUGAAGGAGUGUGGCUCCGAUAGGAUUGACAACUACUACCUUAGAUGAUGAAUCAAGCUCAGAAGGGAUCCCUCUGGAUUUCCCUGCGCCAUGUAAGAAGUGCCUGCUUUCCCUUUGCCUUCUGCUAUGAUUGUUUCCUGAGGCCUCCCCAGUCAUGUUACCUGUACAGCCUGCAGAACUGUGAAGAAACCGAGGCAAUGAACAAAGUAAUAUACCCAAGAUCACAUUGCCAGUGAAUGGGAGAGCUGACGUUUCAAUCUACACAGAACCUGUGCUCUUAGCUAUCUAACCGCUUUACUUGGAAGUGAUGUGAGAUUAAAAAAAGAAGAAAAACAAAAUAUUUUCUUAUGCUUUCAAAAAGUUCAAAAGUAAGUUACAAGAUUUAUGCUGCAUUUUAAUCUAUGAUCUUGAUUACUCAUCAAUUGGAUUAUGUACCCACUUUUUUUUUUUUUUUUUUUUUGAGAUGGAGUCUCACUCUGUCUCCCAGGCUGGAGUGGAGUGCAGUGGUGUGAUCUUGGCUCACUGCAACCUCCACCUCUCUGGUUCAAGCAAUUCUCCCACCUCAGCCUCCCAAGUGGCUGGGGUUACAGGCCCACACCACCACGCCCAGCUAAUUUUUGUAUUUUUAGUAGAGACAGGGUUUUGCCAUGUUGGUUAGGCUGGUUUCAAUCUCCUGACCUCAGGUGAUCCUCCCACCUCAGCCUCCCAAAGUGCUAGGAUUCCAGUCAUAAGCCACUGUGCCCGGCCUGUAUUCACUAUUUAUUUUUAUUUUUUGAAAUUUUUGUGGGUACCCAGUAGGUGUAUACAUAUAUAUAUUUUAACUCUUGAAAAUUUUUGAAUAUUCACUAUUUUAUAACUCCAUACAAGUAUUUUAAACUAAUUUUCUGGUUUUUCUAGUUAUUAAUUUUUUUACCUUAACUCAAAUAAAGAAUAAUUUAAAAGGUGAAGUGUUACAAGUUAAGAGACUCAAGUUCUAGUCUUGGCUUUGCCAUGAAAUUACUGUGUGAAUUUGGUCUAGGCUUUGGUUUCCUCAUGUUUGUUAGCAUGUUCCUCUCUUUAGCUAAAACAGUUCAGUGUAUGUAAAGUGUCAUUCUAUGAACUGAAGAGAUCCUGCCUGUUGAGUUGCAGAUGGCUGGGCAGGUUGCCAAGGGGCUGGUUUCUCCAUGCUGGCUUUUGUGUCUGCAUGCUACAGUUCCCCCCGCACGUCUUGACUACUCACCAGCACAAGAUAUCACACAGACAUGCUUGAGCUGGCCAGGAUCCAGGAUGAUAUUUAGAAAGAAGAGAAUAAAAGCUUAAGGAUGAUCAAGUCCUCUUAAGUAAUAUUAAACAAAAGCAUACUAUUUUCCUUCUAAUUUCCUCUCAAGGCACUUCUCAUGUUAGCAAAGAAAAUGACAAGAUGAGUGUCAGCCUGUCAUAUUUUCUGAUGUAAUGUAUGGGCUAGUAGCUCAUCACAAAAUCAACCAUUUUAUAGGAACUAGAUAAGUUUCAGUGCCAAGCCUUGUUCUCAAGCAGCAGGAUGCCUGCUAAGCAGGGUCCAUAUAAGCUAGAGUUUUGAAAUUAUAGUGAUAUUUUUAUUUUAAGGCAUUCAAGAGCAAAAGCAAAUAGUGGAAGGUUCUCAUUCAUCAAAUGCAAUGACCUUAUUGUUUAGAAAAAAUAAGAUGUGACUAUUACCAAAAAUGCUAUUUUAAAAGUAUAAUCACCUUCUUUUCAGUCUGCCAUGAAAAUUCAUGGAGACCAAAAAUGAUUAAUACAUUAUUUUGUAACUUGCUACCCAAAACAGGGUGGUUUGUUUUCCAAAUUUUGUAUUCUUUGCAUAUUUAAAGUUACUUACUGAGAGUUUUCCAUGUGUAAGGAAUUGAAGGAACAAACUCACAAUCUCUGUUACAAGAUUUAAAAGAAAUUUUUGGAGGCACAUGAACAUCUGCAAUUUCAUUUGUAAAGUAUCCAAGAAUCUGUCGCCUUAGUAACAAUCAAAUGCAUUAAAUGCUAAACGCUGAUUAAAUAGAGUUGAAAAUGGAUUUGUUAGUUAUCCCUCUAAGAAUUUUAACUCCAGCCGCUAGCCCUCUCCUCCCCUUUGCAAUGCAACUAUGCCUUCAAAUAGUGUUCUUUAAAAGGAGGCUUUACGGCUUUGGAGGAAUAAGCUGAUUUCACAGCCAGUUUUGCCACUGCUGUGGAAAACAGAGUACACAUGCAAGACUGCUGAAGUCAUACAAACUGCAAGGAUUAUGGCUGUGGGGGCCUCCACAACUCCUGUCAAACUGCAAUUGGAAACAGCUUCUCCAAAGGACAACAUGAGAAAUCAGGAAUUCUUGUCCAUGGCUCCCCAACCUGCUGGGUUUCUAAUCAGGCCUGGCAUGACCCAUUAGAGAUCAGACAUAGGAAAAUCACAAUGAAACUAGGGUAUCUUCUGUUUUCCAAGCUUCACUCCCCCAGAUCCUUUUCAAGCCUGUAAUUAUUGUCUCUCACCAGUUAAUAAGGGAACCGUUUCUCCAUGGGGACAGGAGCUUCUGGAAGGCUGGACCCAAUCAUUACAGGCUCAGUCCAGGGCCUUUCCUUCACACCAACUACUGCAGCCACUCCCAGAGCCCCUGGAACUCCGGCCCAAGGCUCUCUGACUGACUCCUUCCCAGAUCUUCUCGGCUUAGCAGCUGAAGACUGACACUGCCCGAUCACCUCGGAAGCCCCCUAGACCAUCACGGACGCCGAGCUGCCAGUAACUCUCACAGUGGAAGGUAAGCCCAUCCCCUUCUUAAUCAAUACGGAGGCUACCCACUCCACAUUACCUUCUUUACAAAGGCCUGUUUCCCUUGCCUCCAUAACUGUUGUGGGUAUUGACGGCCAGGCUUCUAAAUCUCUUAAAACUCCCCAACUCUGGUGCCAACUUAGACAAUACUCUUUUAAGCACUCCUUUUUAGUUAUCCCCACCUGCCCAGUUCCCUUAUUAGGCCGAGACACUUUAACUAAAUUAUCUGCUUCCCUGACUAUUCCUGGGCUACAGCCACACCUCAUUACUGCCCUUCUUCCCAAUCCAAAGCCUCCUUUGCGUCCUCCUCUUGUAUCCCCCUACCUUAACCCACAAGUAUAAGAUACCUCUACUCCCUCCUUGGUGACCGAUCAUGCACCCCUUACCAUCUCAUUGAAACCUAAUCACCCUUACCCCGCUCAACGCCAAUAUCCCAUCCCACAGCAUGCUUUGAAAAGACUAAAGCCUGUUAUCACUCUCCUGCUACAGCAUGGCCUUUUAAAGCCUAUAAACUCUCCUUACAAUUCCCCCAUUUCACUUGUCCUAAAACCAGACAAGCCUUACAAGUUAGUUCAGGAUCUAUGCCUUAUCAACCACAUUGUUUUGCCUAUCCACCCCAUGGUGUCAAACCCAUAUACUCUCCUAUCCUCAAUACCUCACUCCAUAAUCCAUUAUUGUGUUCUGGAUCUCAAACAUGCUUUCUUUACUAUUCCUUUGCACCCUUCAUCCCAGCCUCUUUUCACUUUCACUUGGACUGACCCUGACACCCAUCAGGCUCAGCAAAUUACCUGGGCUGUACUGCCCCAAAGCUUCACAGACAGCCCCCA
rnacentral:lncRNA from 10 species